rnacentral:tRNA from 3 species
UGGGGUAUCGCCAAGCGGUAAGGCACCGGUUUUUGAUACCGGCAUUCCCUGGUUCGAAUCCCAGGUACCCCAGCCA